GGGUCGUUAGCUCAGUUGGUAGAGCAGUUGGCUUUUAACCAAUUGGUCGAUGGUUCGAAUCCAUCACGACCCA
rfam:Marinobacter antarcticus strain CGMCC 1.10835 genome assembly, contig: Ga0079884_101